rnacentral:rRNA from 1 species
UACAGAGGUCUCAACCGUUGUUCGGAUUCAUUGGGCGUAAAGGGUGCGUAGGCGGUCGCGCAAGUCGGAUGUGAAAUCUCAGGGCUCAACCCUGAAACUGCAUUCGAUACUGCGUGGCUAGAGUGCUGGAGAGGAGACUGGAAUUUACGGUGUAGCAGUGAAAUGCGUAGAUAUCGUAAGGAAGACCAGUGGCGAAGGCGGGUUGCUGGGCUGACACUGACGCUGAGGCGCGAAAGCCAGGGGAGCGAACGGG